AGGCUGGAAUACCCGUUCUUAGUGGUUCCUCCCAUCUCUGAGAGUCUACGUUCCAAGCUGCUCGGAUAUCCACCCCCCCGCCCCCAUAAUAUGGUUGAUCUGAACCAAACACUACAUAAAACUAAAGCCCUGGCUUCCGGCCCAAGAGCCCUCCCAGAAAGAUACCUGUAAUACCGCCCGUAAUGAUGGGCUUACACAUUAAAGGCCAAUUGGCAAAAAAGAGGGACUUAGAUCGGGGGAACACCAGAAGUUAGCCGAGUACCAGUCGUUUUAACGAGUGUAGUUUAUAUUCAGAGAAAUUCUGGCAAAUAUAGCCCUUUCUAACAUGACAAACAGCGAAGAACAGGAAGGCCAGAAUGCAUAAAGGGGGGUGGGGUGUGUGCGCGCUAACAUUUCUGACCAAACCUCGAUAUUUGCGCCCUCUGCUCUGAUGUCCCUCAUUGACCACGAGGGUGCUCCUGCUUUAGCCAGUGGCUCUGCGAGCUGUAUUUUAUAAACAGGGGAUCCCAGGCACCCAAAUAACCAGGUCGACGCCCCCAUCCGGACCAGAGGGGCAGUUUCCGGUUGUGUCCUGACCGCUGGCCCUCGUCGCGCCUGGAGGUGACCGCUGUACACCGUCAAGACCCACGGUGCGUCCCCCAAGACCCCGAAACGAAAGCAAGGCGAGCAGCCCUCCCAGGCCCUGCUCCCCCAGCGGGGUCACCGUCCGCUCGCGAGGCCGGGGCACAGAGGCGCGCUGAGCCGACCGGCGCGUCCGAGCGGCGCGGCCACAGAUCACCCUCGCGACGCUGCAGCGGCGGGCGCGGGAGGAGGCCGCCACCCCGAGCCCCGCAGCCGGGCUUCCGCGUGCGGGCAGCGCCCCCUGCCCCGUCCGGAGCUCUCCGCCGCAGUGAUGGCGGCGACGGGGGCGGCGCAGCCGAGUCACCUGUGGGGCUUCUCACAACUCCACAGCCCCCUCCCCAAACCCUAGGUCACUCGUCCAGAGGAAGAAAAGAAGCAAUCUCAGCAGAUGCAGGGCCCGGCGCGCCGGUGGUGGAGUUUCCAAAAGCCCUACAGGUGAUGCCACCCCGACGCCCCGCGACGCUGGCCCUGGGUAGUCUCGACCCUCUCCGGCUCCGCAGCUUCCCCCGACCCCGCGGGACGGCCGGGGCUUCGGCGGCGAGACUUGGGAAAGUGUCCCCUGCUCUGCGCACCUCCCUCGCUGCGCGGACCGCGCGCUGGAUGCCAGAGCCACGGAGACCCCUCCAGCCCCACUGAUAUGGGAUGUAGACAGAGGCAUUGGCCAAAGCCUGGAGAGACGCACACCCAGAGUCAGAGGGGAAAGAAGCAGAGUGAAGAACCUUUCUGAGAAGCCUGCUCAUCUGUAUGCUCCGAGAGCAGUGGAAGCCACAGCACAGGAAGCUUCAUUGGGAAGGGCCUUGUGAAUCAGUCCAGGCUCAUGGGCACAACUGUGAGCCUCGCUUAACCCAGGGCCCCCAUCCCAUUCCCUACUGUCCUUGCUUCUGUCCUGCUUGUGCAUGUGUGUCUGGAUGUGUGUGUGGUGUGCAUGCCCACACUGAAGAGGCAGAAGAGAUGAAGGUCCCUCUGCCCAUACCCAUUGGGAACUUAGCCCUGGGACUCUCUGCUCCCUCUCCCCUGAAGCUGCUUUGGAGUCCUCUCCCCCAGAUUGUUGGCAAAGCUGCUGAGCUUCUGAUUCAGUGACAUUUUACAGGAUCACUGUGUUCUCUCUUCAGAGCCAUUUGAGAUAGAACUGGGAACAGGAGGCCCACUGUCUCAGAGGAUUGCAUCAAGAACUGUGCCCCCGAGCAGCUGAAGACUGCAGGGUCUUGGAGCUGCAGGGACAGGAGGGAAGGAGCCAAUACUCCACCAGGCAUCCACUCUUUUCACAUACUAUCUUUUCAUGAAUCUCUGCAGUCGUGAUAGAAAGUACCCCCAAAAUGUCUCCAUCUGAAAGUAGAGGAAACUGAGGCUGAGAGGCAUAAAAGUGACUGGCCUAACACAUCAGUGAAUAAAUGGCCUGAAAGAUCUUUAACACUAGUCUGCUCUAAUUCUGCAUGAUGACUCUUCCUUUAUGUCAUGCAGUCAAGCCUUGCCACCAGCCAGAAUUUCUGAGAUGCAUCACUGGUUUAUAAAGCGGUGUCAAAUGGUAUGAGCAUGGAGGGGAUGACAUGUGUGCAGUGGGUCACAGCACUUCUCUUUCUUCAGACUCGAAGUCCAAGUUUUGUCAGAAAAUUCUCAUGGAAAGACAGACAGAUACCAGGCUGACCUAGCAUCCACUCAUUCUCUCCCUCUCUCUCUCUCUCUCUCUCUCUCUCUCUCUCUCUCAGUUUGGAAAAAGGAUUUGUAGGUCAUUUAGUCCAAAUUUCUAAUUCCUGAAUUAAAGUUGCAGUAUCUAAAGUAAAUAGCUUUCUAGCCUGUGCUUGGAGAUUUAUAGACUGUAAGGACUUUUACAAAGGGAGAAAUUAUUACCAGAGAUAAUGAAAUGAGGUGUGACCCUGACAAUGCAUAGGCUCACAGUGUAGGCAUCUGGAACUCUGUAGUGGCCGUGGUCAGCAUGGACAUGGUGCGGUGUUGGUAACAGUAAUGACAGUAGUAGUAGCAGUGAUGAUGGUUGUGCUGGAGGUCAGGGUGGUGAUGGAAAUGACUGUGACAGCAGUAAUGGGGUGGUGUGAGUCUUGAUGGUAGUAGCACCAGAGGUGGUAGAAGUUGGAGUGAUCCUGGAAGGAAAGCCCCAAGCAGAGGGUAAGUUCUUCCUGGGACAUCAACUAGUUGCCCAUACUGCCUGUAUUAAUCAUGCUUCUCUAGAGGAACAGAACCAAUAGAAAAUAUAUGCAUCAUGAUGCAAAGGGGUUAUUAGGUAGCUUACAGGGUCAGAGGUGGAGAAUCCACUGUGGCCAUCUCUGCACGCUGGAGAGCCAGGGCAUCCGGGAGCUGCUCAGCCCAUGAAGAUGGAGGCUGCAGAACAACAGGGAUCAAGGAUGAGGUGCAGUCCAAGCUCAGAGGCCCGGAAAGUCACUGGAGGGUUGCUGGUGCUAAUCUACAUCAGAAGGCUAAGGAAGAAACUGGAGACUUGGAGGCUGAUGUGCAAAGGAUUGGCCCUUCCAGGAAGACUGGGCCUCUUCAGAACUGGGACACUUCUUUAUUCUUUCCCUGCAAGCCUAUUGGUAGGUAGCGCCUACAUAGGAGGUGGGUCUCCCCUACCCAGUUUGCUGGCCUACAUGUCAAUCACCUUCAGAAACAGCCAGACCUGCACUUUACUAAUCUGGUAAGUGCUUCUUAAUUCAUUCAAAUAGACACAGUAUGAUUAAUAGUCACGCUGUCCCAGGGUAGCUCAUCCCUGUGAGGAGAAUGGAUAACUCCAUAGCAUUCUCCUGGCCUGUCCAGGUCAGGGAGCUGCUAGGCUGAAAUCUUGCCUGACACAGCCAAUGUCCUCCAUUCCAAGGUGGCCGGAACCCAGGGCCCUGAGGCCUGGCAGACUUUUCUAAGCUUUUGUAGAAAUGUUUAUGAUGGAAACAUAUUCAGGUCCACAGGCUGGGACAAGCCCACACACACACACACACACACACUCACACACACACACGCACAGAGUUUCUGCAGAAGCUGGUGGAGAGAGGAUGAGUGUGGCUAAGUGUGUGCCACAUGUCCAUCUCCGCCAUUCUGAUCCAGGUGGUUGCGCAAUGCUGGCAGCUUUGUCACUGACUCAGUCACUGAGACACCAGCAGCGAAAGCAACCAGUAUGCUGUUUGCCUCUCUGGAAUGCAAGCAUGCCAAAUGAAGAGUCACACAAUAUGGCCUCCUUGCAGCAAUGGAUGGCCUGCCCCCAGCUGGUGCCAGGUUUGCUUUCUGUUUAGUUCCAGUGCCCUCUCACUUGUCAGGAAUGACAUUUGGGAGACUUGACGGAGGAAACUCCAUUCUGUGAUAGAUAGGAACUGGUGACCCUGUGGCUAUGGGCAACGCUGGCUUAGUGUAGGCAUAGCCCAGAAUGACUCCUGCUAUUUACCAUACAAGAAAUCAAUGUAAAACAAUGACCCUUCCCCACAAGAGCAUAUGUGUUUCAUACUCCAAGCACCCCUCGAUCUGUCACCCCAAAUACGUUCAGCAGUAUUACCCAAAUCAUGGACUCACUAAAGUGCCUGCCUUCAAUAGGGUCCCUUAUUUCCUCCUGUACAGGAGUAAUAAUUUCAAGGGCAAGAAGAGAAAGUGCAUAUGAUGUCCUUCCUCUGUUGGUGCCUGGCCUGGGGAGAUUCUUAGAAAAUGUGUGCUCAAUGAAGGACAUGAUGACCGGGUGAUGUAGAUGUGGAAGCAUUUCUGUUUUUGCAAGGUCACAUUAACUUCUGUGCAGGGAAAGAGUCAGCUCGAAAGCUUUGAUGGCCUCUGGGAACAGAGAGCUCUACCCAGACCACACAUGGAAAGCUUCCAAAGGUGAAGGCCACGAGGACAGUCGCAGUGUCCUUGGCUGCAUAAAUGUGCACGACAACUGCAUGUGUUGGUACCUGGCAGUUCUUCGGAGACUAACUGUAAGGUCUUCUUUUAUAGCCUGGUUGCCUUUAUGAAGACAAGGGUCUGCCAGUGGCAGUGACAACCCUUGGAAUUUCUGGACAGUGAUUCAGAGAUUAGUCAUAUAUAGCACCCAGUCAUUUGUAGGUACAAAGCUUAGGCUCAGUGUGUACUUGCCAACAAUGUCCCUGUCACCCUGCUUGGCACCCAGCCCAUAUAUAACGAGAGGCUCUCAAAUUCCAACCGACUAUGGAAGCAGAGCCAGUGUUAAGGAAAUCGCCAUUUUACUUGUUAAAAUAAUACCCGGAUUCUGUAGCAGAUUCUUUCUAACAGAUUUUAUUCAGGCAUCCACCCAUUGCCAAGUUGGGGCAUUCUGCUGGCAUCUGUUGUGGAUCUAGGUGUGGG
rnacentral:lncRNA from 1 species